AGUGUUUGUACCAGCUCUUCUUUGUAUGUCUGUUAGAAUUUGGCUGUGAAUUCACCGGAUCUGGGCCUUUUAUGAAAAAUCUUCAUGGAGUGGCAAAAGUUGUUUACCUGAAGCUCACAAGAUGUAUCCAGAAAAUAUCACCAGGGAUCAGAUCAAGCCUGACCCCCAUUUUACAUCUUCUGUAACCAGAAGCACUCCAAGAACAACACUUUCAUUCAUGGACUUAACAACUACAUUAGAUCAUACCAGCCUGUCACUUCAAAGUCACCAGUGUCAAGGAACAUUUCAAAUUGGCUUAAAGCAUUGUUUUGGAGGUGUGAAUAAUGAAGCCAAGGACAUUAGCAACAUCAUGAAAGCAGGCUAUUCAAAUGCUCAUUCUACAUUGAAAUCAGCAUGGAAUGUGUAAUAACAGGAAAGAGAAAUAUACAGACUCUCUGUGCUUGGCAUGGCAAUGUGUCACGUGGCUUGAAAAGGCAUCAAGUGAAUAGAGAAGAUUCUAUGGAUGUAGAAGAGGUCCCUGGGUUUCCGAAUUGCCACUGGAUUGCCUCUAUCAAAUACACAAGAGUUUCAUGAGUGAGAAAUAACCUUCUGUUGCUUUAAAUCUUGGGUUGUGCAAUACAUCAGUGAGCCUACCAUGACUAAUACAUUCUAUGGAUGCAGAUUUCUCUUCUCUGGCCAUUGACAUGAGUGUGCUUUCUGGAUGCAGUCACAGGGGACCCAAGAUUCUUGGACAGAAUUCUCGCCGGGAGCCAACUCAGCCUGAUCUGCUGGCAUCUCUCAAGUAUCAGAAGUCAACAAAAUGGUUUGCCUUGAAGACUUGGCCAGAGCAGCAGCCAAAGUUCAUAAGGCUUUCGUAGAGAGAUUGUUUGUCUAAGAAAACAAAAUUCUAAGGGCUCCCAUUGUGCAGCUGGGGUGGCAAAAUGCAAACUAAUAUAAGGAAAAAAAAUGCUUUUCAUUUCCAUGGAAGAAAUGACCCAUCCUAUUGUUGAUAUUUCCUUUUCUGUGCUAACUUAUUCCAUUAAUUAGGCUCUCGUUUUAUGAGAUAAUUUCACUGCAUGCGUAUCUUCUUUUGGUUAUUACACAAGGACUGUUUUCUAUGGUUCAUAUCUAAGUCCAACCCUGGAAAAAUCUUUUUUUUUGAGACAGCCUUUUUUGUUUUGUUUUGAGACAAUACUCCCUCUGUUGCCCAGGCUGGAAUGCAGUGGUGAGAUCAUAGCUCACUGCAACUUCUGCCUCCUAGGCUCAAAAAAUCCUCCCACCUCAGCCUCCCAAGUAGCUGGGAUUGCAGGCAUAUGCCAUCACACCCGGCUAAUUUUUGGAUUUUUAGUAAAGUUUUGCCAUGUUGGCCAGGCUGAUCUUGAACUCCUGCCCUCAAGUGAUCUGCCCACCUUGACCUCCCAAAGUGCUGGGAUUACAGGUGUGAGCUACUGUGCUCAGCUCAGCCAUGGAACAAUCUUGAUGUAUAAUUUAUCUGCAGGUAUCUCCAUCUCUAUUUGCCACUCUUAGUAAAUGUUUUAGUUUGACAGUAAACGAGUUGAGACAUUAAUGAUUGAGAGAGCACCUAAGCAGCUCGAAGUGCUGGGAGUCUCUCCUAAAGAAUUAGAUGCACACAGCAUUUUUCCCUUACAGACACUUCACUGAGCAGUCAUGUUGGACUUGGGUGGCGUCUGCUAUUAGACACACUAUUCACCAAUAAAACCCUGAAAAUUGCAUUGCACAGGACUGAUAAAAAUAAGAUGACUUAAGAAACGUAUUUAUGGUAUAUAUACACAGAAAAAGAAUGAAAGUUUGAGGGGGUAUUGCCUCUGGGAGGAAGAGUUAUGAGUAGUUUGUAUUUCCUUUUUUGUUAAUCUGUAUUUCAUUUUUUAGGCAAUGCAAAUAUAUUAUUUAGACAACAAAAUACUUAUUAGAAAGAAAAGACAUGGUGGGUUUUUUCCCCUUUAUUCUUUGCUUUUCUAAGAGGAAACUUUGACUGCAAUUGCUUGUGAGUGAUACCUGUGUUCUGGUAGCUUAGGAAGACACAAUGUGGUUAGGGAAGGAUAAGAACAGAUGGCUUUAAUAAAUGUACUCAAGGCUAAUGUACCCUUCAUAGUCUCAGGCUUCAGAUCAGAUCUCUUAUCUAUGCUGGCACCAGGAUGUGGUUUUGAGUUCUCUGCUUUUUCUACAGCUUUAGGGAAAUCUGCAUGCAGGCACAUCUAAUUGUCCAAACCAAAAAUCACAUCCAGGAUGUGAGGCAGCCUGGGAGAGGUCAUUUUGAGUUCUGUAGUCUCCGAAGUAUAAAAACACAUAAACAUGUAUACAUACACACAUUAACACCCACACACUUUUGAAGGAAGAUGGAAUGGAAGACAAGCACCACAGUGAAACUUUAGAAGAAUUUCCCUUACAUUCAGGAAAAAAAGAUAGAGGGUCCAUUUUCAUCACUCUUAUUGCCAUUGUCUAGAAGAUAAGCCGUAAUAAGAUAAAAUAAAAAGUGUAUAGAACACUUGGAAAAAAAUAUAAAAGAUUGGUCCCAUUCUCCGAUGGCAUGAUAUUCAAAUGAAGAACCAACUAUAAACAGGUUGUUAUGAGCUGAAUGUUAAUGUGACCCCAAAAUUCAUAUGCUGAAAUCUUAACCCCAAAGGUGAUAGUGUUAGAUGGUGAGGCUUUUAGGAGUUGACACAGUGUAAUGCCUCUUCUAUGAAGAAGUGGGCCUUUGUCAGUUACCAAAUCUGCAGAGGCCUUGAUCUUGAACUUCCCAGCCUCCAGAGCUUGGAGGAAUGAAUGUUUAUUGUUUGUAAACCACCCAGUUUAUGGUAUUUUAUUAGAGCUGCUCAAAGGGUCUAAGACACAAGUAUAAGUCAUAAGUAAAUGCAUCAAAUUUGCUGAAUAUAAAUCAACAUAUAAAAAAUCAACAGCAUGCUUGGAUCCCUGGUAUGAAUCACAUCUGGUCAUGGCAAAUAAUCUAAAAAAAAAUAAUAAAAUAAUCAAUUUAAAAAAUUUAAAAAGCAACAGUAUUUACUAUUCAUUGCCAAUGACCAAUUAGAAAAUGGCAUAAACAUGACAUCUGUGAUAAGACAAAUACUCUAAGGUAACUAGAACUACAAGUAAUAAAAGAUGUGUACAGUUUACAGAGACGAUUGUAGAAAGCCAAAAAAAAUUAAAAGUGAAAACCUAAAUGGGAAGAAGCAUCAUGUAUAUUGGGUCAUAGUAGAUAUCAUAAUAUAAAUUAUAAAAUACAGAACAAAAUGAUAUAAAAUACUAAAUUUCAAAAUGUGUUGGAUAUAGCUAAAGCAGCACUAAAGAGGAAUUUAUAGGUUUAAAUACACGUAUUGGGGGAGGAAAGAGAUAAAGUUUGAUAUGGCGGUAAGCAUCCACUUAGGGAAAAGUACAAAAAGAAAAUAAUAGUAGAAAGUAAUAAAAUAGAAAAUAUAAAAGAGGUUUUUUAAAAAAUACUUACAAAAUGGACAGUCUUUAUGGGGAUUGAACAAGAACAAAGAAAGAAGGCACUGAUAACCAAUGUCAAGGAUAUGGAAGUGGAUAUGUGGAUAUAACUAAAAUGCUGCAGUUAUUCGAGAUAAGAGUAUUAUAAGUAACUGUAAGAUAACACAUUUAAAAACUUGGUCGAAAUGGUCAAAUUUGUAGAAAAGUAUAUCUCAACAAAACUGAUUCAAGAAAAAUAACCCAUUAAAAAAUAAAUCAGCAGUUACCUUUUAUUUAUUUAUUUUUGACAAGAAAAUAUCAAAUGGUUUUACUGGCAAGAUCUGCCAAAUAUUCAAGAAACAAGUAAUUUCAAUUUUGGACAGAAUUUUCCAGAGAAGAGAAAAUGGGAAGAGGGUUGUUCCUCAUUUUAUGAAGCUAGUAUACACAUCAGUGCCAACAUUUGACAAGGGAAGUUUGAAAAAGGAAAAUCACCGACUAAUCUCUCCCAUGAGCAGAGACUUAAAAAAUUCUAAACAAAAUAUUUGCCAACCAAAUCCGAAUAUAGAAAGGAUUGUACACCAUGAUCAAGUUGAGCUCAUCCUAGGAAUGUUUCCUUUAUGGUAACAUUCGGGAAAGCAAAAUACAUGGGUGCACAUGCAAGAGGUAGGAGAUUGAGACUGGGAGUCUGUAGAACUUCUGAUUUCAUCCAUUUUUUGCAAGUGAAUUAGAUUUUCUUUAAAAAGGUUAUUGGGUGAAGGCGCAGAUAGAGGAGCAGGUCUUGGAGAUUUAAGGGGAAAGGAAGUAUGAUACAGUCUUCUAGAAGACUGGAAGAGUAAAUGGAAUAUAGCGUGAUUGCAUUGGGGCUCCUCUGAGCUUUAUGGGCAUGAAUUUAAAGAUUAUUUGAGGCCCUGGUUUGUGCAGUAAGAAAAAUUUUGUUUAGGGAUUAGGAAGGAAGAAAUAAAACUAAAAAUCUCCCAUUAUUCACAGAUGACAUGAUGAUUCUUAUAGAAAACCCAAAAGAUAUUACUACAUCAAUAUAGAAAACUCAAUUACAUUUCUUUAUUUUUCUUUUUCUUUUCUUUUUUUUUUUUUUUUGCUUUAAGUUCUAGGAUACAUGUGCAGAACGUGCGGGUUUGUUACAUAGGUAUACAUGUGCCACGGUGGUUUCCUGCACCUAUCAACCCGUCAUCUAGGUUUUAAGCCCAGAAUGCAUUAGGUAUUUGUCCUAAAACUCUCCCUCCCCUUCCCCUACUCCCCCCAACAGGCCCUGGUAUGUGAUGUUACCCUCCCUGUGUCCCUGUGUUCUCAAUGUUCAACUCCUACUUAUGAGUGAGAACAUGCGGUGUUUGGUUUUCUGUUUCUGUGUUAGUUUGCUGAGGAUGAUGGUUUCCAGCUUCAGCCAUGUCGCUGCAAAGGACAUUAACUCAUUCGUUUUUCUGGCUGCAUAGUAUUCCAUGGUGUGUAGGCGCCACGUUUUCUUUAUCCAGUCUGUCAUUGAUGGGCAUUUGGGUUGGUUCCAAGUCUUUGCUAUUGCAAAUAGUGCUGCAAUAAACAUAUGUGUGCAUGUGUCUUUAUAGAAUGAUUUAUAAUGCUUUGGGUAUAUACCCAGUAAUGGGAUUGCUGGGUCAAAUGGUAUUUCUGGUUCUAGAUCCUUGAGGAAUCACCACACUUUCUUCCAUAAUGGUUGAACGAAUUUACACUCCCACCAACCAUGUAAAAGCAUUCCUAUUUCUCCAUGUCCUCACCAGCAUCUGUUGUUUCCAGACUUUUAAAUGAUCAUCAUUCUUACUGGCAUGAUAUGGUAUCUCAUUGUGAUUUUGAUUUGCAUUCCUCUAAUGGCCAGUGAUGAGUUUUUCUUAUGUUUUCUGGCCGCAUAAAUGUCUUCUUUUGAGAAGUGUCUGUUCAUAUCAUUCACCCACUUUUUAAUGGUUUUUUUCUUGUAAAUUUAAGUUCCUUGUAGAUUCUGGAUAUUAGACCUUUGUCAGAUGGAUAGAUCGCAAAAAUUUUCUCCAAUUCUGUAGGUUGCGUGUUCACUCUGAUGAUAGUUUCUUUUGCUGCGCAGAAGCUCUUCAGUUUAAUUAGAUCCCAUGUGCCAAUUUUGGCAUUUUUUGAAAAUGCUUUUGGUGUUUUAGUCAUGAAGUCUUUGCCCAUGCCUAUGUCCUGAAUGGUAUUGCCUAGGUUUUCUUCUAGGGUUUUUAUGGUUUUAGGUUUUAUGUUUAAGUGUAAGGAGGGAUACAUUUAAGCCAAAAAGGACAGUCUACAUCUCUGCUUAUUGUCCCAAGGCAGCAGAAAUACAAUUCAUAGAUCCCAACACUUAGCCUUCCCCACCCUAGUCACACAGCAUCCCUCAGCCUGCCAAGGGAAUUGGUUCUGCAGACACGAGGGAUUUGCCCGGGGAUAAAGACCCCUUCUGGUUCAGACAUCAGGAGAUACAAAUGCAAUACACCACAGCUGACACAACUGGACAUCUUCAGUGUUGCAGUCUCACCCUAUCUCUCUGCUUGCCAGCUCCAGCUCAUCGGGCCAGUUAUGAGAAGGAAAACAUAUUUUCUAAAAGCUUUCUUAAGUGUUCACAUGGCCAGCUGCCCUUGUUUGUUCUCCUGAGUACUGAGGUCACUGGAAGCCACAAAACCCAGCUGGGACCACUUCAAUGAGUUAUGCUCCAGGGAAAAUUAUGGUGUGAAAAGGUAAAAGGAAAUUUUGGAAACUGGUGGAAUCUUCAUGGAAGUGUCACCCUGGGCUAAUACCAAGGAUCUGACAUAGACAAAAGUAUGAAUUACUCUGCAGGCUCAGCGCCAAGGGCAAGGUCGUAAGAGCCUGAGAUGGUCUUAACAAAUUAAGUGAGGCAGGCAAAGUUCAGUUGCUUACUGUGAGCUGGACCCUUCUACAUUAUUAUUUUUAUCAUGGAGUCCAAUGUCCCCAUGUUGAUCCUAACAAGCCAAGUCCCACAUUGCAUCAUCCCACAUGGGCCGGCCUUCUCUGGGCAAAACUUCAAGAUGUGAAACUCCUUUUUUCUCCUCUCAAAAUGUGCCAGUCCUGAGUCUCCUGUAUUGGGUUCAUUAAUGUUAACAUACUUUUUCUGGUCUGCUACAAUGAUCCAGGCACUGCACUAUAGUCCAAAGGCACAAAACAAUAAAUUAGACUUGCCCCUUGUUCUCAGGACUGAAAAUGGUUCCAUUCACCAAAAAAACAGGUGAAAGUUUACCCAGCACCUAAACCUGUACUAAUGUAUUAAUUAAUGCAUCACAGUUUAUUUAUUCUACACUUAUUUUACUUGCCCCUGUAAUAUACCACUAGAUGCUUCAGUAUGGGAGAUAUUGAACUCUAAAGUUCUAAGGGUGCUGUGGUGGAGAUAUGGACAUAUCUCAAAAUUAGCAGGAAAUUUAAAUAGCGAUUUUAAGAGAAAGUAAGAUCUGGUUAUGAGAAAGGAUGAAGCUACUCUGGGUGAGAGAAAACUGAGAACUAUGCCCUAGGAAUAUCCAACAUUUAAAGUGUAAACAAAGAAAGUAAAGACAGAGAUGACAACUGAGAAAGAGUGGUAGUCACAGGAGACUCAAGUGAGUGUAGCUGGAAGAUGUCAUCAGAACCCUAGUUAAUAACAUGUGGUCUACCAUUGCUACAAUACAAUGCCCUCCAGCCAUCUCAGGCAGGUGGGCCUUUACUUUCCUCAAAUUACAUUCACAGAUGAACAACCCAUGCUCUAUGAAGGAGUCGGGCCUGCAUACUAUCCUUCCCAAUGAGGGAGAUGUGACAGUUCAGGAUUCAGGAAAGGACCAAAUGGACUCACCAGGCAAGUGUGCUUUAGGAUGGAGGGCAGGGUUGGCUCUGUGCCAGGAGUGUAGAUUUCAUCUGUUGGCUGCAAAUGUGUGCCAGUUCCCAAUGGAAUGCUACUGUUCUCUGACCUGCCCUCAACUCAUAACACAAGUCACAAUUCACUGGAGUUUCACAGUACGUUUCUGUGGAUGUUUGGAAUCAGAAAUGCAGACUCACAGAAUAGCUGUAUAGGAUUUAAAGAGAAUCGGCAGAGUUCAGGCUGCUCAUUUUACAGAGGAGGAGGCUGAGUCUGAAGACUUACUAAUUUGGCCAGGGUUGCAUGGCAGUUUAGCAGAGUAGUUAAACAAAUGGGCUUGAAACUCAAAGAGUCCCUGAGAAUCUUAAAUUGUGUGCCUUAGGCAAGUCUGCUAAAACUGCUAUGUCUCAGUUAACUCCUCUUAAAACUGAGUAAGAAUAACAUAUAUAUAUAUAUAUCAUAUAUUAUGAUACAUGAUAUAUACAUAAUUCAUGUAUUAUAUCAUGAUACAUGAUAUAUAUGUAUUAUUCAUGUAUAUGAUACAUGAUACAUAUAUCAUGUAACCUAUGAUAUAUAUCAUAUAUGAAGAUUAUAUAUAUAUCUCAGAGGUUAUUUGUAAGAGAUGAGAUAGUGAAUUCAAAGCACUUAGCAUGACAGCUAGCAUAUGGUGACACAGCUAUCAUGCAAAGCCAAGUCUUCUGACUCGUACUUUAGUGCUCUUUCCUCUGAACCAUGAUCCCUCCUUUAAAUAGAGAAGUUAAAAAUGAACUUACAGAGACAUUCUAUGUGUACCAACCCAACACUAUAGCACUUGAUUUAUGCAUUCAUUUUUAUAACAACUAUCAUUUGAGCAUCUAUGUACCAGGGUGCUGAUGUAACCAUGCUGAGUGCUGAGGUACUCAUGCUGAAUCAGAUGUGAUCUCUUCCCACUAAGGAGAGAGAAGAUUGUGCCUAUGGUAGCCAGGAAUGAGGUGCACUUGCAAGGAGUAGGGAGGAGUGGGGAGAGUCUAGAGGCAAGGAGAUGAGAUAGAAAGUUCUUGCCCUAAUUUAGGCAAGAGGCAGCAGGGUCCUGAAUUACCUUGGAGAAAAUGGAAAUUAGGGGAAAGGACAAAGAAAUGAGGUAGGAACAUGAGACUUACCCUUGACACAUGAUUAUUAUGUUUAUGAAAUAUUUGUUUUUGUGUUUCUGACAAGCAAUUUGCCUCCAGAAUUGCCAAAUGAGUCUGGUUGUUACUCCAGACUCAAGGUAACAUCUGCUUAUUGCUAGUGCAUAGACCAGGGCAGGUGAUGGGCUUUAGGCCUCUUAUCUAGCGUCUUACACAAAAUUGCAAGUAGACCCAGAAUUACUAGUGCCAGGGCUGCAGAAAUAGGAACUGUUUAGCCAGGUCUAUGACCAUCUGUUUUCCCUCCUGCCAAAUGCAUCGAGGGCAUGAUAGAUCUGGCUUAGAUGGUAACAAAGUGAGAGCAGAGUUGAGCAAAUAGACAAAUGUUUAUCUUUUGCAGGAAUGUGCACUUGGCUCUGGGGAUUGUAGCUGUCCAUCAGCAUCCACACUGGAUGAAACUGCUGAAGGAAGGGGCUCCGAAAACACCCACUUUCCUCAGCCUCUGCGGCCUUAACUCCAUGUGCCAGCAGGUCAGGCUAACAGGCUGUGGUGCUAAAGGCAUCAGGCAGACAUAUCUACUGGCCCAUUAAGAUUCUGUACCUAAACACUACCCACCCCGCCCACCCUGCCCCAGUGAUGGCCCUGCCUUUCCUGCCAGGCCUGCUCUCCUCCCCAAGAAAGGGAAAAUGGUUAGCAACUUUCAGAAACUAAAACAAACACAAAAGUUUGCCAACAUUAAACUCUGCUUCACAGCUAAAUGGACCAUAAACUUUCAGCACCUUGAACAAAACUUCAAUUCAAUCCCUUCUACAGGUGCUGUGGGCACAAAGACUGCACAGUGUAUUUUUGCCCUGGGAAAGAGUCUCAAAUUAUUAUUUUUGUAAAAAAAAAAAAAAAAAGAAAAGAAAAAGUUGCCUGGAAAAAAGUUUCAUUUUGUGCUUAGAAAAACAAGCCAAGAGGCAACGCACACCCCCUUUCUCUCCAUUCUCACUUCCCUGCACUCUCACGAGAAGAUUCCAGCCCACCUUGAAACCCAGCAUGGAUACUAGAGAAGACAUCUUUUUCUCCAGUUUUCAAAUAAGCCUCCAGGAUGAGGCACACGCAGACCUUUCCUGCUAGCCUGUAAUUCACCACCUUCUAAAAGGACCAGGUCAUGAUACAAAUGAAAGCAAUGAAAAGCACAGGCCUGCAUGCCCAAGGUCUGAGUCUUGCUCCCUGUCAUCUUCGGUGUGACCUUAGCGUGUCACUUGACCUCUCAGGUCUCACAUUUAGCAUCCAGACAACUCAGGACUUAAGUUCUCUUACAGCUCUAAAAUUCUGUAUGGGAAUGACAUCAAUAAAGUAAUAUAAUUUUUUGUUCAAACCAGCAAAGAUGUGCAAAUACAAGGGGUAGUGAAUAGCAAUUAUGCCUGGCAUCCAGCAGAACUGUGCUGGGAACCAAGACCUGUGGUUCUGAGGGCUGUCCAGAGAGCGCCACGGCCAUUCGCGUGCUAAACCUUUGCAACCUGAGCCCAGUAACAGGAACACAGAACAUUCUCCAGGAGUCUGGGGCCUUGCCUCCAUUCUCCAGCUGCUCCUCUCCCAUUGUUUUCCCUCUCUACACGACUGCCCUUUCUUGGGCUCCCCAUGCUCUAAGUUAAGUUGGCAGCAUGGCAGAGAUUGAGAGCACAGAUUCUGGUCUCAGACUGCAUGGGCUCAAAUUACAGCUUCAUAAUUUACCACAUGAUCUUGGGCAAGUUACUUAAACUCAAAGAUAGACUUUUCAAACAUUUUUUCACUGCAAUCCACAGUAAGAAAUAUAUUUAACAUAAAUAAUACUCUACGUGUGUGCACACACACACACAUACUCACAUAAAUUAAAAGAUUAAUAAAAAAUAAUUAUUUUUGAUAUUUUGUGAGCACCAUUUGAUUGGUCCUAUUCUAUGUAAAUUUCUAUAAAUGCUAGUCAUAAUCCAGCAAAUUGAUUUCAUGGUCUACUAAUGGUUUCAGACCCACAAUUUGAAAAACCCUGUUCUAAGCUUUAGUUUUCUCAUCUGUAAAAUGAAGAUAAUAUAAAUAAUAUCCUCUCUGUGGAGUUGUUAUGAAGAUGACUAAAAUGUUCAUAUAAAAGCGUUUGGCCACAGUGCAGGGUGGCUCACGCCUGUAAUCCCAGCACUUCGGGAAGUCAAGGCAGGCAGAUCACAUGAGGCCAGUAGCUCAAGACCAGCCUAGUCAACAUGUUGAAACCCUGUCUCUACAAAAAGUACAAAAAUUAGCCCAGCAUGGUGGUGCACACCUGUAGUCCCAGCUACUCAGGAGGCUGAGGCAGGAGAAUCACUUGAACCCGGGAGGUGGAGGUUGCAGUGAGCCAAGAUGGCACCACUGCAUUCCAUCCUGGGCAACAGAGUGAGACUCUGUGUCAAAAACAAACAAACAAACAAACAAAAGGUUUAGCUUGGAAGGUAAUAAGUGCUCAGUGAAUAUUAGUGUUAUUAUUACUCAAGGAAGGGCAUCAGUGUGAAAUAAAUCUUAUACUUCAAGUCCAAAAGGGAAGCUCCCAGUAAUCAUGCCCUUCAUGAACCUGUACAUGAAUCAAAUGGCUUUUCCCAUUGGGCAUGCAUGCCAUGCCAUCAAGCAAGUCAGAAUUUAAGCUUCUGUGCAGGUCAGUGAAGACAUGGUGCUUGCCACUGCAGCAGCAGCCAUCUUGCACACAUGAGGUGCCACACCUGAGGAAGGAAGAACAAAGCAAUGGAAAGACCAGUGUUUUGGUAUUACUGAGUUGCUGAACCAAUCCUGGAACUGGAUCUCAGGCUUUUUAUUUAAAUCAAUAAAAUCUCCUGAUGUUUAAAAGGCAAUUUUAUGCAAACCAGCUCAUUACCUCCUACAGUGUCCCUUCCCUCACCAACAGGAAGUGGCUCCACAUUUCAAUUGCCUUUUUGCCCUUGAGAAUCAGCAUUCCCUAAACCACCACUAUUAAAUUUGGGACUCUGAAACCACAGAAAUACCCUACAGUAGGAAAUCCCCCUUGGGUGCCUAGACUCUCUAUCACCUUUGCAAAGCUUUUAAGUAAAAAAGGAAAACCUCAGGCUUCCCACUUAGCCAUGGAAAGUGGUACCACCUUCAGAGGAAAGAUGGGGGAUUCAGGAGCACCACCUCCAAUUUUAGGAGGUGCCCCUGAUUUCCUCAAAUACUGACAGGUAAUUUAACCUAAACAAUGGAGAGGAGCCCUGCUUCAAGAUGCAGUGCUAGGCUCACCCUGACCAGCACUUGGUAGAUAAGAAAGAGAAAACAACUUACAAAUUCUUCAGUGAUGCUUGGCUCAGUACUUAGCUCGCUGGCUGGCUGACUUUGCAACUACUUCUAGUUAAGGGUUCCAAAGGACUGGAAGGUAAAUAACCAGCAAGGUGUCGUAACACUGAGACAGAGUGAAAUAUUAUUUCCACCCUCUCGUGACCUCGGUGGCCAUUUUCCAGCUCUAGGGCCAGUCUGCACAUGACGAUGAGUGGUAUCUGAUGGCUGGUCCUGGCAUGAAGUGUGAGGGAAUGCCAGUUUAGGACUUGAACCUUCCAUCUCCCACUGAUUCCAGUCAGAGUAAUCCAAACCUAGUCUGUCUUUUCUUUCCCUUAUGCUGCAAACUUUCCCCUGUUUUAGUCAAAAUACACCAGCUUAGUAAUUCUGGCUGCCACAGACUGAAUUUUGAGCCUCACCAGUUUCCAAAUAAUUAAGACAGAGAAAGUGAGUUAAAUAAAAUAUGGCCAGAUUAAAUAAACAAUUCGGUACUUUAGGAGAAGAAUUCAGGCUGGGUCUAAGAUAGGCGCCUAGCGCAGGGCUCUGCAGCAGACAUAAGGAAGUCUUAAGUUGGUUUUCAAUAGGUGUACCUAAGGGUGCAUUUGAUAACAACAACAAAAAGAGAGAUGGAAGCAAAUAUUUAACAAGCACCUAUUAUCUAUCAGGCACUACAUAUACAUUCUCUCAUUUUCUUCUUACAAAGUACACGUAUCCUAGCAAUUAUUUCCAUUUUAAAAAACUGAAAAUGAAAAAUUACUUGCUCAAGAUCAUAAAGCAAGUAAACAUUAGAAUUAGGAUUUAACCCUAGGCCCUUCUUGUGCAGGAGUCAUGCUCUUUCAAGCACACUGUGCUGUCCCCCGGGAAGAGUGAGGGUUAUCAGGAAAAGCAGUGGAAUGGCAGAAAAGAAGAAGGGGAAGGAUUUUAAAACAGGGAAAAGAAAGGACAGAAAUACAUAAAAAUAAGAAAUGGGAACAGGAAGGACUGCAAAGAUUAAGGAAGAACGGUUGGUGAGUACCUUGGCUAUUUAGUGGAAUUUGGUGAUUCAGAACUGGGAAUGGACAGUAAGCCCCUUCAAAUACCCUGGGGAAGCCAAGAUUGUCAUGGAGCUGUUCUUUUCUCUAUCUCAAGUACAAAUGUCUCAAAGAACUCUAAAAGCUACUUAAAGCAAGAGCAAGGAACUCAAACUAAGUUCUUAUUGAGUGGUGGCCAAAAAACAAGCUGGACGAGUUUCCAGAUGAUACUGCCGGGAUGAUUCUUUUAGCUGACAGUUACCAAAAAGGAAGGCUUUCAGGACAUGUCAAUAGCAGAUCUUACGCCUUCUCUGACCUCGGCCUUCCUCAGAGUCUUUUAGCUGUAAUGAGCAAAUAUUAGCAUAAGAGACAGGGACCAAAUAUUUGUUUAGUGUCUGUGUUGAUUAUUAAGCUGUUGCCUGUAAACUCCACACUCACCCUUCAUUCUCAGCUUUGUGUUGCUGGGGCUGGGCCUCUGUAAUCACAUUUCAGCUUUGCCAGAGGGAUUUCUCUUAGGCUGCCAGUAGUGGGGCACUAGAGGGAGUCUGGAGGCAGUGGGGAAGAAGGGAUUUGUUCCUUCUGUUUUUUUGCUGGUCCUGUCAGUAUCAUCCCAGCAGCCCUUAGCUCCAGUUUGCAGUUAUUUUCCUCACUACAAGAACACACUCCCUCAGUGAUAGCGUCUGUCAACCAGAACCUCCUCCCCAGAUAUUGAGUCCCUGUUUUGAGGGUCCCUGCUCUGAGUCUCCAACGCACCUGCCUCCACCAGGCAGCACCCCUCCCUCCUGGUCCAGUUUCCAGCUCUGCAGGGCCCUCCUCCAAGCUUCCAGAUCCCAGGCACCUGACGCAUCCCUUUUGUUCUCUCAGCCCUAGGGGUAGCGAUUGCUUCCUGCAGUUGCUAGCUCCGUGACCCUCCAGUGGUCCUCCUCCUCACUUUCAGUGCUUCAAUUCCUUAUAUUAAGUAUUCUUUAUUAGGAAAACUGAUGGGUGUCUGUUUUCUGGACUGGCCUUUACCUGAUUUGUUAUCACUUCUGUCUACGUCCAGGACAAUAUUGAGCAAUAUUCUGAGGCUAUACUGUGUUAAAAGGAAACUUCAGACAAAUUAAAUUUAACAGAGUUUAACUGAGCAAGAAAAAAAAAUUCAUAAAUUGGGCAGCCUCCAGAAUCACAACAGAUUCAGAGAGAGUCCAGGGAUGCCUUAUGGUCAGAACAAAUUUAUAGACAACAAAAGGGAAGUGACGUGCAGAAAUCAGAAGUGAGGUACAGAAACAGCUGGACUGAUUACAGCUCAACAUUUGCCUUUUUUGAACAAAUCUGAACACUCAGCAGUGUAUGAGUGGUUGACGUAUGGCUGCUGUGAUUGGCCAGACCUCAGCUAUUGUUACAGGCACAUACUCUUAAGUCAGGUUUUCAAUCCUAUCUGACUAUAAAGUUAGGUUACAGUUUGUCCUCAUGGACUCAAAUUUAGAAGUAUGGCGUCCUUCUCAGGCCAUAUUUAGUUCAGUUUAACAAGUGCAUAUGGCUUCUGACAAAGGUGUGGCCCCUUUAGGACUCCAAAGACGCUGUCACUUACAUGGUAUUCAGGGAGGACACAGAGGAUCUGUGAGCAGCCUGCAGCCAAGCUUUGAGAUCAUAUUGAGAUUUUUUUGUAAUAUAUGAGGAGUGUUCUGGCUCCUUUUAUUACUUUCUUCAUAGCAAAAAUUGGGGGUCCAAGUUGUCGUUAAAUUGAAACUCUCUCACUUACCCUGAAAAAGAUUUGACUGUGAGCAUAACAUUGUUACUUCAUUCAAGACAUGGAAGCAAAAGGGUUAAUUAGUGCUGCUCACAAAAUAGUUCUACUUUUUCUUCUUCCAAUUAUAUGAUUGGAUAACCCUUCCCUCCCUUGAAGUCAGGGUUGCCAUGUGGCUUACUUUGGUCAAUAGAAUAUGAUUGAGAGCAAUACUGUGGUACAUCCAUACAGUGGAAUAUUAUCCAGUGAUAAAAAAAAAAAAAAAAAGGAAAGAAAGAAAGCCACAAAAAGACAUGGAAGAGAGCCAAGCGCAGCGGCUCAUGCAUGUAAUCCCAGCACUUUGCGAGGCUGAAGUGAGUGGAUCACUUGAGCUCAGGAGUUCAAGACCAGCCUGAGCAACAUGGCAAAACCCCAUCUCUAAAAAAAAAUACAAAAAAAUUUUAGCUCAGUGUGACUCUGUGUGCCUGUAGUCCCAGCUACUGGGGAGGCUAAGGUGGAAGGAUCACUUGAGCUCAGGAGGUCAAGGCUGCACAAAGCUGCAAUGAGCAGAAAUCAUGCUUGGGCAACAGAGAGAGACCCUGUCUCAAAAUAUGUUAAUGAGAGAGAACUCUGGGCAAGGGGGUGGAGGGGCAGAGGAGGAGUGUGGGGAAGGGGAAGGAGUGCAUACCUGGAAACUCUACUUUCUGCAUAAUUUUUCUAUAAACCUGAAAUUGCUCUAAAAAGUAAAGUCUAUUUAAAAAUAAUAAAUAAGAAAGAAAUAUGAAUAUCACUUGUGUCACUUUUGUGUCAAAGCAUUAACGGCCAGCACAUGAUUUGCCUUGCCACUCCCUUCCUCUUGGUCUGUAGUCCAAUGCUCUACCUCUGAGCUAUACCCCUUCCUUGCCACUCCCUUCCUAAAGAUAAGCCUCCCUCAUUGGAUUAGAAUUCUCCGGAGAGACAGAGACAAUAAGAUAUAUAUAGAGAGAGAUGGAGAGAUAGAGAUAGGAAUUAUCACAGGAUUAUGGAGGCUGAGAAGUCCCGCAAUAAGCCAUCUAUAAGCUAGAGAACCAGGGAAGCCAGUAAUAUGAGUCAGUCUAAGCCUUAAGGCUUCAAAACCAGAGAUGUCAAUAGCAUAACUUUCACCACAAGACUGAAGGUCACAAGGCUGAAUGCCUGAGAAACUGGGGGGUCACUAAUCCAAGCCCCAGAUUCGAAAGGCUGGAUAGAGAACCUGGGGUUCUGAUGUCCAAGGGCAGGAGAAUAAGGGUGUCCCAGCUCCAGAAGGGAGUGAGCAAAUUCACCUUUCCUCUGGCUUUUUGUUCUAGUAGGACCUGAGCCAUAUGGACGAUGCCUGUCCACAUUGGGUGAGGCCACAUCUUCCUCACUCAGUCCACUGAUUCAAAUGCCAAUCUCUUUUGGAAACACCCUUAUAGACAUGCCCAGAAGUAAUGCUUUAUCAGCUAUCUGGGUACCACUUAAUCUGGUCAAGUUGACACCUAAAAUUAAUUAUCAUCACAACUCAUUCUGGUUCUGUUAGUGAGAAUAAUCAAGAAUGCAUCCCUAGCUCGUCACUUCCAAUGAGCCAGUCUUCAGUGGACAUGCACCCUGAGUGGAAAAAAAGUAAAAACUGUUUCUAUUGUUGUUUUAAACAACUUAGAUUCAGAGAUUAUUUGUUAUUGCAGGAUAACCUAGCUUAUCCUGACUAAUACAGAGAGAGGAAGUCCUCCUUUAAUCUCCAACAGAAAUAUUAAACAGCAAUCAAUCACACAAUAUUGGUUAAAAAAACAAAGAUAAUAAUCAUUGUUAUUAUUUUCAUUAUUUCUGGAAAUAAAUUUAAAACUAUUGAAAAAACUUACUUUUAAAAUUCUCAACAUCACUAAUCAUCCAGGAAAUGCAAAUCAAAACCACAAUGAGAUGUCAUCUCACCUCAGUUAAAGUGGCUAUUAUCAAAAAGACAGAACAUAGCAGUUGCUGAUGAGGAUACAGAGAAGGGGAAGUUCUCCUACACUGUUCAUGGGAAUGUAGAUUAGUAUGGAAGUCCAUCAGAAAACUAAAAAUAGAACUACCAUAUGAUCCAGCAAUCCUACUGCUAGGGAUGUAACCAAAAGAAAGGCAAUCAGCAUAUAAAAGAGAUAUCUGCACCUCUUUGUUUAUUGCAGCACUAUUCACAAUAGCCAGAUUAUAGAAUCAACAUAUGUGCCCAUCAACAGAUGAAUGGACAAAGAAAAUGUGGUAUAUAUUCACAAUGGAAUAUUCAUUCAUAAAAAAAUUAAAAUCCCAUCAUUUGAAGCAACAUGGAUGUAACUGGAGGAUAUGAUGUUAAAUGAAAUAAGCCAUGCACAGAAAGACAAAUAUCACAUGUUCUCACUCAUAUGUGGGAGCUAAAAAGGCUAAACUUAUGGAGGUGGGGAGUAGAAUGGUGAUUACCAGAGGUUGGGAAGUGUUGAAGUCAGAGAGGAAGAGAACUUGGUUAAUGGGUACAAAAAUACAGUUAGAAAGAAGGAAUAAGUUCUAGUGUUCACAGUAGAACAAACAUAAUUA
rnacentral:lncRNA from 1 species